GUCAGGGUUGCCUAAUGGCUAAGGCAGUCGGCUGUAACCCGAUGACCAUUCGGUCACUGGUGGUUCGAGUCCAUCCUCUGACA
rnacentral:tRNA from 1 species